AUGGAUCUCAACCUGCAAGUGUUGUGCUGAAACGUUCGAGGCCUGAACGAUCCAGCAAAGAAGAAGGCGGUGCGGAAAUUUGUGACAUCGAUGGGUGUGAACAUGGUGUGCUUACAAGAGACCAAAUUAGAUGUAAUUGAUCGUUUCUGUGUUAUACAAUGUUUGGGGCCGUCGUUUGAUGGCUUUGCGUAUUUGCCUGCGUUGGAAACUAGAGAGGGGGUACUCCUUGCUUGGGACACCACGGUCAUGGAGAUAGAUAACAUACAGCUGGACACCAAUUUUCUCACAGGGAUGGUACACAGCAAGGACGGAGCCAAGUGGUGGAUCUCGGUUGUCUAUGGCCCUCAAGGAGAUGAGCUCAAAACAAAUUUCCUGUAG
rnacentral:rRNA from 1 species